UAAUAUUCAUGUGUGUCCUCACAUGAACUCUGACUAGGGAUAACUUUAGAAUAACCAUACAAGUAAAGAGUUUCACAUACAAUUCACAUAAUUGCAAAUCAAUUCAAGUAGACUUUAAUGGAUAUUCAAGGAACACAAUAUAAAUCAUGGAUACAAAUGGAAUGUCAUCAUCUCUAUGAUUUCUUCUAGGGCAUACGUCCAACACAAACCUGUCAAUCUUGAACCUGGAUAACGCAUUUGAAGUAGUUCAAUCAUGUCAUCAUCGUACUCCCCUUGCCACCAUCGCAUCCAUUGAUCUCAUUACCUGCGCAAUGCCACAAGACAAGUACACUAGACAAUUGGCUGAACUGGCAGAGCGUGCGUACGAACAAUUUGAUUAGUAGAACCCGAUGCAUUCUGUUCAACACUCC
rnacentral:lncRNA from 1 species